rnacentral:rRNA from 1 species
UACGAAGGGGGCUAGCGUUGCUCGGAAUCACUGGGCGUAAAGGGUGCGUAGGCGGGUCUUUAAGUCAGGGGUGAAAUCCUGGAGCUCAACUCCAGAACUGCCUUUGAUACUGAAGAUCUUGAGUUCGGGAGAGGUGAGUGGAACUGCGAGUGUAGAGGUGAAAUGCGUAGAUAUCUGGAGGAACACCGGUGGCGAAGGCGGCGUCCUGGACCAACACUGACACUGAGGAGCGAAAGCCAGGGGAGCAAACGGG